rnacentral:misc_RNA from 1 species
AUCCUGCAACGUUAUGUCAGCCAUUGCCAAGCUCUCAUUCCGUGCUGUUAUCACUGUUCAACUAUUUUUUAUUUUCGCUUGGAUAUUUUACUAUACAAGAGAUUAUACCUUUAUUUCUCAACAACCAUUCAACAACAACAGCAUUGUUCAUCUAAAUGCUGGAAGGGCAGAAGAGAGAAACAAGAUGUACAUUUAUGUAGAAUCUGCAAAAACAGACGAGAGAAAUAAAAGCUACACCAAUUCAGAUUCUACAAAGACUGAAGAAAGAAAAAAGACGUAUACCUUGCUAACUUCAUACUUUGAGUACAACUACACAACAACUACAGAUAAAGCAGAUGGUGCACUUAAAAAAUGCCAACUAAUUCCUUCCGGGUUAGUUGGGAAAUUAAAAGUCGAUAAGACACCAAAGACCAUGGAGGCCAUUGAAAAGAAAUAUGAAACGAUAAAGGACGGCAAAUAUAAGCCAAAAAACUGUACAGCUCGACAGAAAGUAGCCAUACUCAUUCCAUUUCGUGAUAGGGAAAGUCAUUUAAGAAUUUUUCUGAACCACAUGCACACCUUUCUUAUGAAGCAGCAACUUGAAUAUGGAAUAUAUGUCGUGGAACAGACUAAGGGUCUUGAAUUCAAUAGAGGUUUCCUGUUUAAUGUUGGAUAUAAAGAAGCACUCAGAGACUCUGACUACGACUGCUUUGUGCUUCACGAUGUGGAUCUUCUCCCGGAAAACGACCACAAUAUCUACACCUGUCCUGUUGACCAACCAAAACAUUUAGCUGUUGCCUCUGAGAAAUGGCAAUACAAUUUGCCAUACACGUCCUAUUUUGGUGGUGUUUCGGCCUUGACACGAGAACAAUAUGAAGCUGUCAAUGGGUUUUCAAAUGAAUUCUUUGGUUGGGGUGGUGAGGAUGAUGAUUUUUACAACAGUCCAUGUAUACCUUGCAGAGUGGCGUGGUCUCAAAUGUCAGUAUACCGAUCAAUAAAUGAUGUUGGAAGAUAUUCCUGCACUUUACCCACAAACCUGCUGUAGCAAAUCCAAAAAGGAUUGAUAUUAUAAGUAAAGGAAAAGAGCGGAUGUGGAAAGACGGACUGAUCUCCCUUAAAUAUGGAAUAAUUCAGAAGACAUAUAAAAAACUAUUCAUACAUAUCAUUGUAAAAAUCGUUUGAGAACGAUUUAAAAAUUAUUGUUUAAGAGUAGGAAGUGAUUUUAAAACAUGAAGAACUAACCUCAUGUGUAUCAUCUAAUGGAGGCUAUAUUUAUAUUAUUCAACAAAUCAACACAGAAGAACCGGCUUUGGAAUUUAAAAGGAAUUGAAAAGGAAAUGAUCAGAGAAUAUUGUUUCAGCAUCAUACCGCAUUACAUCGACUUCAAAGAUCAAGUAAACUAUAAACAAGGAUGGGUUGUUUAAAAAGGGGAAAAACGUGGAAAAUGAAAACAAGUAAUAGGAAUAAAUAGAAAGGAGAAGGUCAUUUUUUAAAUUAAAUUUAGCUCUGGCACUUUUGAAGAAUGGGACUAAUAGAUAGUUCUACCUCGACGUAUAUGUGAAACAGAAGACGAAUUAAUAGAUGUAGAACACUAUAUUUAUGGAAGUAUUCGCCACGUUUUAUUUUCACGUCUUUUGCCGUCUUUGUCUCCAGCGAAUUUAAGUCUUGGUGAAUUCAAAACUCUUUAUAACACUUAUUUUCUAUACCAAUUCUUCUCUUUCCUAUAAUUAUUGUUAUGCUUGUCAAGUGGGUUGAUAAUAUGAUUUGAAUUAUCUUGAGUUAUUAUGAUUAAAUUGUUGAAACAUCAAAUCAAUUCCUAUCUUGAAAAGGGUUCUAUGUUUAAAAGAUAUCUGAGAAAUCCAUUAGUUUAUAUGUACUGAUUGAAAAAAAAUAUAAUUAUAUAGAAAUAUUUUUAUUGAACAUUGUACGGCAAAUUCAAGUUUUUGUCAUAAUUUUCAUCUAUCCUUAUAAAUAAUUAUUAACUGGUUUGUAUUCUACACUAAUAUACCUAGAAUUGAAUACAUGACUGUACUUUGAUGAUUUAUAUUGCGAAGAUAUAUAUACACUGUAAUACUUCCU